GGAUAGCCUUUCGAAAGAAAGAUUAAUACCCGAUGGCAUAGUUCUUCCGCAUGGUAGAACUAUUAAAGAAUUUCGGUCAUCGAUGGGGAUGCGUUCCAUUAGGUUGUUGGCGGGGUAACGGCCCACCAAGCCUUCGAUGGAUAGGGGUUCUGAGAGGAAGGUCCCCCACAUUGGAACUGAGACACGGUCCAAACUCCUACGGGAGGCAGCAGUGAGGAAUAUUGGUCAAUGGACGAGAGUCUGAACCAGCCAAGUAGCGUGAAGGAUGACUGCCCUAUGGGUUGUAAACUUCUUUUAUACGGGAAUAAAGUGAGGCACGUGUGCCUUUUUGUAUGUACCGUAUGAAUAAGGAUCGGCUAACUCCGUGCCAGCAGCCGCGGUAAUACGGAGGAUCCGAGCGUUAUCCGGAUUUAUUGGGUUUAAAGGG
rnacentral:rRNA from 1 species